rnacentral:rRNA from 1 species
CACACUAUCAUUAACUGAAUCCAUAGGUUAAUGAGGCGAACCGGGGGAACUGAAACAUCUAAGUACCCCGAGGAAAAGAAAUCAACCGAGAUUCCCCCAGUAGCGGCGAGCGAACGGGGAGCAGCCCAGAGCCUGAAUCAGUGUGUGUGUUAGUGGAAGCGUCUGGAAAGGCGCGCGAUACAGGGUGACAGCCCCGUACACAAAAAUGCACAUACUGUGAGCUCGAUGAGUAGGGCGGGACACGUGGUAUCCUGUCUGAAUAUGGGGGGACCAUCCUCCAAGGCUAAAUACUCCUGACUGACCGAUAGUGAACCAGUACCGUGAGGGAAAGGCGAAAAGAA